UUGAAUAAAACUUGGUCCAGUUGUUGCUGGCUCUUAAGAGCAUGUGCACGCUUGGUCCAUUUUUUAAUACCUCCUGUGCAUUUUGUGUAGAUUUAAACAUCUAUCGAGGCAACUCGGUCAGAGAAUUGCUGUGUGAAAGCCAGCCUUUCUUGGGUUUAGAUCUACAACUUUACACACUCCUUAUAAAAGUAUUAGAAUGUAGACAAGGCCAUAGUGCCUUUAAAAUGAAAUA
rnacentral:misc_RNA from 1 species